rnacentral:rRNA from 1 species
UAUUGGUCAAUGGUCGGGAGACUGAACCAGCCAAGCCGCGUGAGGGAGGAAGGUGCAGAGUAUCGUAAACCUCUUUUGUCAGGGAGCAAAGGCGGGGACGUGUCCCCGGAUGAGUGUACCUGAAGAAAAAGCAUCGGCUAACUCCGUGCCAGCAGCCGCGGUAAUACGGAGGAUGCGAGCGUUAUCUGGAUUUAUUGGGUUUUAAGGGUGCGGAGGCGGUCUGUUAAGUCAGCGUUCAAAGCCCGGGGCUCAACCCCGGCCCGCCGUUGAAACUGGCAGUCUCGAGUUGGAGAGAAGUAUGCGGAAUGCGCGGUGUAGCGGUGAAAUGCAUAGAUAUCGCGCAGAACUCCGAUUGGGAAGGCAGCAUGCCGGCUCCACACUGACGCUGAGGCACAAAAGCGUGGGUAUCGAACAGG